AUUUUUGCAGAGCACCAAAUAGCUCGCCAUUUUAGAUUUGUGAACAGAACUCGCAGUAUAGCGAGUACUGUAGCACUCUCCAAUUUACAGCUCUAGACGAGAGUGAAGGCGGGUAAGAGCAUCCACGCUCAUGCUACCCAAACUUAAUCCUUAGCUAUAAUAGCUACUAGCUAGUAUGAGUGAAAAAAAGAAUCGCAUUGUUACUCUCUAUUUGGCUACCUAUUCUAACACUAUGAACAGUACUCUCUAUAUGUAGCGAGUAUUGUAGCACUCCUCGGUUGGUAGCGAGAAAGAAGGUGAUCGCGGGAAAGGAAAGAGCGGAGGAAGGGGUUGUGCUUCUAGUUUCUGUUUCGGUUGCUGCUCAGUCUAUGGUGGUGGCUGAAAUGUUAUGGUGUUGUGUGGGAUGAGUUGGAGCUAUUCGGGUUGGGUGAUUUGCAUAUCUUGAUGCUGAAUCACGCAUUCUAGAUUUAGAGAGAGAGAGAGAGAGGGAGAGAGAGAGAGAAAGCGAUUAGCAGCAGCAAUGGAGGUGGAAUUGAAAGAGAUGCUUAACGAUCUUGAUUAUUUGAAGAAUCACUUUCAAAUCCUUCAAACCUUGCUUCUUCAAUUCAUAAGCAAUAAGAUUCGAGGGAGAUGUUUGCAAAAGAGGAGAUGCAAUUUGGGUGUUUGAAUCUACUGUCGAACAUUUUGGUAGGCUUGACAUUCUUGUAAAUGUUGCAACCAGCAAUUUUCUUAUCAUGAACACAGGAGAUGGAUUGAAGAGCCAACAAAAAGAGUUUAAGGAAUGGCAAUUUAUUUCGUUGUUUGGAUGGUGCUCAUUCUGAACAUGUUUUUAAAGAAGAUUUUAUGUAAAUAAUAAUCACUAAUCAUUUCAAAAAAUAAUAAAAAAUAUUCAUGACUCUAUUUUGAAGAGCAUGAAUGUGAUAUCAUUUUUUAGCUAGCUAGCUAAAAUAGCUUUUUAGCUCUUUUUUAGCUAAAACUUGGGUAAAAUGUAGAGAGCAUGGUUCCAGAUGCUCUAAAAGGGUUGACAGUAUCAUACCAGGGUUUCUUUCUUGAUUUGAGCCCCCCUCCUCAUUUCUCCUCUUCCAUACUUUGUUCUUUGUUGGCUCAGAAGGAGCGACAAAUAGAUCUAGAUGGUUGGCACAGAUCCAUCUCUCUCUAUGUUUUUUUGAAGAAAAGAUGGUGUGAAUUGAUUUUGAGAGAGAGACUCUCCAGCCUCUUCUAAAGUCCAAGGUGUCGAAGUUCAAUUCUUUCUCUCAAAACUUGAUUGUGUUCAAGGUUGUUGUAUAUGAGCAGACAAAAAGGGUUUUUUGGAGCUAGAUUUGGUUAUGGGGGGAAAUGGGUAGAAGAACAUAUUUACUUUGGGUUCAUUUCUAUAAUGCUGUGAAAAAACCGGGGAUUGAAGUUUUCGAUACCAUCCCACAAUAAUCAAUUAUUAUGAUCUUGAAUUGAAUUACAAA